rnacentral:rRNA from 1 species
CCUACGGGAGGCAGCAGUGAGGAAUAUUGGUCAAUGGGCGGAAGCCUGAACCAGCCAAGUAGCGUGCGGGAUGAAGGCCCUACGGGUCGUAAACCGCUUUUGCACGGGGAUAACACCCUCCACUUGUGGAGGUCUGCAGGUACCGUGCGAAUAAGGAUCGGCUAACUCCGUGCCAGCAGCCGCGGUAAUACGGAGGAUCCGAGCGUUAUCCGGAUUUAUUGGGUUUAAAGGGUGCGUAGGCGGCCUUUUAAGUCAGCGGUGAAAGUCUGUGGCUCAACCAUAGAAUUGCCGUUGAACCUGGGAGGCUUGAGUAUGUUUGAGGCAGGCGGAAUGCGUGGUGUAGCGGUGAAAUGCUUAGAUAUCACGCAGAACCCCGAUUGCGAAGGCAGCCUGCCAAGCCAUGACUGACGCUGAUGCACGAAAGCGUGGGGAUCAAACAGGAUUAGAUACCCGGGUAGUC